CAAAUCGUCGACAAUGGUAUUUCUUUCCGUUGCUUUGGCAUUGAGUACUCUCUCUUCUGGAAAGAUGUGGCGGCACACUUAGGCUUUAAUGCGCGCUGCUCUAUCAAUUUGGAUUUUUCCCUCUCUGGUUAUAAUCAUCAUAGUUUCUGGCACCUGAUCUCGAGACAGAAUGUUGUGGGAAAAUUCCAACCCAAUGCCAACAACAUCCAUCAUCCCACACGCUUUUGCAUAAGUGGCUUGCUUGUUCUUUUUUCUCUAGGGAU
rnacentral:lncRNA from 1 species